AGUAUUUAUUGUAUGUUACCAACCAGCUCGUGCUUUGGUUUUAGAAAAUGAAAUGAGAGGCUGACUAUGAAAAGAGAGUCCAUUUUUCCAGUUGUGUGCAGAGUACAGCUGAGAAACAAAGCUUCUGACACAGUGAACUGGACCUUCCUUUGGACCCCAAAGUAUUGCUGAACAGUGAAAAGUCCUGACACGGUAACAAGAGGAGAAAAACCUUGAGGUCAGUGUGCAGAGAGGGGAGGGACAGCACCUUCCCAUGUGAGUGAGAGGAAUGAUCUCCAAUGACAAGCCCAUUGAGAGGGGUGGGGUGGGGACAAAGUCUUCUGGUGUAGCUGUGCUUAGGAUGGA
rnacentral:lncRNA from 1 species